rnacentral:rRNA from 1 species
CUAACGGGACUGCCCGCGAAAGCGGGAGGAAGGAGGGGACGACGUCUGGUCAGCAUGGCCCUUACGGCCUGGGCGACACACGUGCUACAAUGCCCACUACAAAGCGAUGCCACCCGGCAACGGGGAGCUAAUCGCAAAAAGGUGGGCCCAGUUCGGAUUGGGGUCUGCAACCCGACCCCCAUGAAGCCGGAAUCGCUAGUAAUCGCGGAUCAGCCAUGCCGCGGUGAAUACGUUCCCGGGCCUUGU